rnacentral:rRNA from 1 species
UACGUAGGGUGCAAGCGUUGUCCGGAAUUAUUGGGCGUAAAGGGCUCGUAGGCGGUCCAUCGCGUCGGGAGUGAAAAGCUGGGGCUUAACCCCAGUCCUGCUUCCGAUACGGGUGGACUAGAGGUAGGUAGGGGAGAUCGGAAUUCCUGGUGUAGCGGUGAAAUGCGCAGAUAUCAGGAGGAACACCGGUGGCGAAGGCGGCAUCCUGGACCGGUAUUGACGCUGAGGCGCGAAAGCCAGGGGAGCAAACGGG